rnacentral:lncRNA from 1 species
GUUGGUAGGAUUUGAUUUCUUUCAUUAUUGUACAGUCCUAUAGUUGGUAGGAUUUGAUACCUCUCUGUACUCUAUAUAUACUUUCGUGAGCAAUAUGAGAAAAUUGAUUCUCCCAAAAUUCUCUACAACGAGUUCAUGUGAUUAGAGUAAAGCAUUUUUUAUUUAAAUUAUACUACAUAAAGAAUUUCCCUAUUCAGCACCCAUGCUUAGCGGAGAACUACAAUAUGUUUUAUGUGAUUUAUUAACAAAAAAAUAGAACAUAUUAGUCUUAAGGCAUGGCUUAUACUCAAAUAUCAUCAAUCGCUCCUUCACUAUCCAAAACAGUAGCUAAUACCACAGUUUCACCAUGAGAAUUCAAUGAGAAAAAUCUGAACAUACAAGUCCUAGAACAUGAUUCUAUCCUUAUCAAAUUGUCACUAACACACUUCAACACGACAAAAUAAAGAAAGCCUAACACAUGAUUUUCUAAGUGUAUUUAAACGAAGAAAAUAAAUCGAGAUGAGUCAGAUUUACCUGUUGUUGGGCAGUGAGACUGGGGACGUCGAUGUCGAAUCUACUCUUUUGUCAUGAACAGAUUCGAACUAGAACUGGGCGAACUCACAACUCUCUGCUUUGCUUAAAGUCAACAAAGACAGAGAUGUUUUGAAAGAGAAUAACAAUGGCUAAUUAGCUGUGUUUGAUUCUAGAUCGUGUUUGAGAGAGUUCUCGGAUAGGAAAUUUUUGAUUAGAGACUGAAACGUUUCUGUUGUUCAAGUUUUGCAAACGAGACUAAGGCUUUUCAUAGUUAGUAAAGUUUGAGGGGUCGAGUGGCCGCUGAACCUUAAGGUUAAAGGAGGGGGUUCAAGCUUGAUUUAAAAUCUCUUCAAAAGCGGGUAUUUAUUGGCUAAUUUUUAGGAUUCUUGAUUUGAACGAGAUUUCGAAAUUGAGUGAAAAGUUAUUGAACAUUUGAAAUUUUGAACAUUAAUGUUGAAGAAAAUGAAAUGAGGUGCAAAACUUUUUGUUCAAAAUGGUAAUGGAAAGUUCUGCCACGACUGAGCAAGGAUGGAAUUUUGUGAAGAGGAGGAA